CGGGCCCGCACCGCCAAGUCGGAGACGCGCGGGAGCCGAGGGCUGGGUCUUUGCGGGCGAGAUGAGGGUGUCGGUUCAACUGGCCUACAAAGUCCCAGUCCUCGGCCCCCAGGACCGGCGGCUUCUCCUAGCUCCAGGCCGGCAGGGCGGGAGCUCGGCGCCAGCGGGAGCGGGACCCGGCGGGGGGCGCACGGGAGGGGGUGGGGCGCCGGGCGCGGGCCGCGUGCUCAUUCCGGGGAUCCCCGUGCUUCGCAGCAACAGUGGGAAUGUGCUCAGAGCUUUAACUCGGCCGCCGUGUGCAGGCGGUGUCAGGUUUCCAGGCGCAGACUUGCAACUCUGGUCACUGGAGAAGAUGGCUGUCUGCAGGACCCUGACCGUGUGAUCAUCCUUCUGGCCAGCCUGGCCUCUUGCUCCUUAGGCUCUGGUCAUCCCAGCUGGGCCUCCACAGCUCUCCCAGAGACAGUUUUUAAAGGGCUGGGUUUGCUCAGGAGCCUCAGCAUUCUUCCACCCAGGAGAAAGGACAGCGUCAAGGUGCUCCUAUUAAGCAGCCGGAGAACUACUCCGGCUCCGUGGCCACAAGUUAGAGCUGAAGAGAUUGUUGAGGCUCUGCCUUCAGAGCCCAGUCGAGAAGAUGCGACCAUCUGCAGCUGGCAGAAUUUUACAUCCGAUGCUUUUCCCUGCUGCUCAGAGUCAUCUUUUGAUCCUCAUUUUACAGGAUGGGCUGAGGCAUGAGUGGUCCGGAUACCCACCAGAAGACACAGCUAGGAUGGGCAGAGCUGGGGCUGACUCCCAGGGCCAGGGCUUUCAGUAAUAAUUACUUAUAAUUAGCAUUCGGUUCUAACAAGCAUAUCCUGAUGCUUACUAAUACUUAAGCAUUUGGUCAGCCAGUAUCCGGAGGUGCGUGGGUGGGUGCUGCUGUCUCAUGGAGGAGGUAUCUGCACCACAGGGAGGCUGGGUUCCCACCCCUGGGUCUUCCUGACGUGACUGCGCACCUGGCCAGCCUGCAUCCACAGCUGCCCCCAUUCAGCCUGCCAUGUGGCCCAGGAUCCCAGUUCUGGGCCGGGCAAGAUUUAACCCCAUUUUCAAAACACACCAGAGGCGUGGCCUAGGUAACGCAGCUGUGGCUGGCAGAGGCCCCUGGUUCCCUGCUCCCUGCCUGCACAGAGGUAUCUAGGAAAGAGC
rnacentral:lncRNA from 1 species